AUGUUAUUUACUAGAGCUGAGUAUAUGUGGGGCACUGCCAAGUUACAGAUCAAUGAUGCUAUUAAGGAUAGAAUUAUGGUAACCUUUCCAAAUGAAUCAUCUGCUCUGGCCUAUCUGUUUUAUGAGAAGAUUGGAAGGAUUUGCUCUUUCUGUGGAAUUAUGUUCCACAAUGUUCAGGGAUGCCCUCUUAGGAAUCAGAUUAUAUUGGAAAGGCACAAAAGGGGAGUUUCAGCUGGGGAUAUUCCAUCACAAAGAUUUGGAGAGUGGAUUACUGAUGCAGAGCUCAUCCCGCAAUUGGAUUCUACACAUGGAGGCUCUUUAAAUCAUGGGUUAAAUAUAUUUCAGAAUCAACAACUCAUAAGAUUUCAGCGUUUAUUUGCAGACGACGAAAAAGGAAAGGGCUUAACUUCUAUUGACGGUUCAAGUGAUUUAUAUAAGAAGAAAGAUAAAGACAAAUUGGUCAGAAGUUACAAUGACAAAGAUUCAAAUUCACAAUCUAAAGAUGCUAAUGUGGAGGAGCAGCGGCAGAUCCCCCGUCAUAGUGGGCGACUAGAUACCAACAUUCAUGAGGGAAAUCUGUAUGAUAACCACCUAGUCACCGUUCAAUGGGGAGCAGCAGAACAGACUCACAACACUAAUGUUGGGGCCAGUCAAUCUGAAAGACAAGGGGAUGUGGGUCGACCUGCCAAUAAUCUUCAGUCUACUCAAAGCAACCCAACAGAUGCAAGACAAGAAGGCCAGCUACCCCAAUCCAUAGAUGUUAUUCCUUUUGCACCCACAGAAGGUACAACCACGCUUCAUAUCACUCAGAACUUAAACACAUCUUCCAUGCCAGCUUCCAUUGCUCUAUCUUGCCCCACUGUUCAUGGACAGAUCCUUACCCACCAAUCCAAUCCCAGUUACUCUGAUUCAUAUGUUCCUUCCCACAUGAGUAAUAUAUAG
rnacentral:rRNA from 1 species